rnacentral:lncRNA from 1 species
CUCCGGGUCUCUGCGUCCUCCGCCACCUCCGCCUCUGGGUGUCUCUCCCCGGGCUCUGGGAGUCGCUCACAGGGCUCUGGGUGCCGUUCCCCGGGCUCCAGGUAUCUCUCUCCGGGCUCUCGAUACCACUCCCCCGGCUCUGGGUGUCUCUCCCCGGGCUCUGGGUACCGUUCCCCGGGCUCUGGAUACCACUCUCCCGGCUCUGUGUGUCUCUCCCCGGGCUCUGGGUACCACUCCCCCGGCUCUGAGUAUCUCUGUCCGGGCUCUGGGUGCCACUCCCCAGGCUCUGGGAGUCUCUCCCCGGGCUCUGGGUGUCUCUCCCCGGGCUCUGGGUAUCUCUCCCCGGGCUCUGGGAGUCUCUCCCCGGGCUCUGAGUAUCUCUCCCCGGGCUCUGAGUAUCUCUCCCCGGGCUCUGNGCCCGGGCCCGGGGUGAGUGGUGGGCACGGGCCGGGCUGGGGCCCGCACACGCUCGGGCAGCCUUGUGCUUUGUGUGUGCUCUGUGUGUGCUCUGUGUGUGCUCUGUGUGUGCUCUCUGUGUGUGCUCUGUGAGGUGCUCCUGUGGUUAGAGACCCGAGGUCCGUAACAAGGCUGAGGGAAUUGAGGUUGUUCAGCCUGGUGUAGAGGAGGCGCCUGGGGAGACCCUGGAGCCGUUUCCAUUGCCUAAAAGGGUUUCGAGAGAGCUUGAGAGGGACUUUGGACAAGGGCUGGGAGAGAUAGGACUGGGGGGAAUGGCUUCUCACUGACAGAGGGCAGGGUUAGGUGGGAUUAGGAAGAAAUUCCUCACUGUGAGGGUGGGAAGGCUCUGGCACAGGUUGCCAGAGAAGCUGAGGCUGCCCUUGGAUCCCUGGAAGUGUCCAAGGCCAAGUUGGACGGGGUUUGGAGCAGCCUGGGACAGUGGAAGGUGUCCCUGCCCAUGGCAGGGGGUGGGUGACUUUUAAGGUUCCUUCCAACCCAACGCGUUCUUGGGUUCUAUGAAAGAUCUGUUGUCUCUUUGUUAAGUAGUCAUCUCACACUUCAAAGCACAAGAGAGAAGAUUUGAAAAAGAUAGUUUUAUUUUCACUUUCAAUACUUCCUUCCAUGCUUUGCCGGGGGAAAUAAAGCAAUAUUUCUGUUUUGUUUUGAAGUCA